UCGGGAAUUUUGGGCAAUGGGCGAAAGCCUGACCCAGCAACGCCGCGUGAAGGAUGAAAUCCCUCGGGAUGUAAACUUCGCAAGAACGGGAAGAAUUAGCCUGCGUAAAUAUCGCAGGUGAUGACGGUACCGUUUGUAAGCUCCGGCUAACUCCGUGCCAGCAGCCGCGGUAAUACGGGGGGAGCAAGCGUUGUUCGGAUUUACUGGGCGUAAAGGGCGCGUAGGCGGCCAGCGCAAGUCAGUUGUGAAAUCUCCGAGCUUAACUCGGAAAGGUCAACUGAUACUGCGCGGCUAGAGUGCGGAAGGGGCAACUGGAAUUCUUGGUGUAGCGGUGAAAUGCGUAGAUAUCAAGAGGAACACCUGCGGCGAAGGCGGGUUGCUGGGCCGACACUGACGCUGAGGCGCGAAAGCUAGGGGAGCGAACGG
rnacentral:rRNA from 1 species